GAAAAUAAGCCAUAGUCGUUCCCUAAUCUAUAGAAAAGAAAGUUACCUGCGCUCUCUCCUAUGUAUAUUUAGACAAAUGGAGGUCAUUUAUUUGCUCAAAUGGCCAUUGGAGGGAAUGCCCGCCUGCCAACGUCAAGGCAGACCCCCCUAAAGCGGAUCCUACACUGACCCUUCAGCCUGCUUCCUUGAGCUUCUGGCAAAGAUAUCUCUAAUGAGACAGAGAGGGGUAAAUAUACAUAGGGAUUAAGGAGAGAGCGCAGGUAACUUUUUCUUUUCUUUGGUUUUUACUAUAUAUUGGGGCUGAUGUGUACUGUAGUCAUUAGAACUUAAUCACUUGGUCUGUCAAACUCUAGCACCUUUAUUAAAGGGAUUCUAUAGUGUAAGGAAUACACUGGUGCAUUCCUUAUACUAUAGAGCCC